rnacentral:misc_RNA from 1 species
AGGCACUUGAAUCACAAUGUAAGCUCCAUGAGAUGCGAGAUUGAUCCGACUCCUUUUGUCCUUGCGAAAAGGAUACAUGCAGGGCCUGCUGACUAAUUUAUGUCUCUUCUACUUCUUUCUGGUUCUGGUAGAGUGUAGACCAUGGAUUAGGCUUCAAUACGGAUGAGUGCAAAGAAUCUAAAUUGUGGGGAGUCAUUAUUUCCCUGCUGAAUCAAAGGCCAGCAACCUGACCGCUA